AACUAAAUUUCACUAAGGGGCAGAUUUUAAGUUUAUAAACAUGCUUUCAUUUGAGAAAAAAGUCAAAUAUCUUGACUGUAUUACUCCAUGUCUCAUAUAGUCUUCUCAAAGACCUGAAAAAGGCAG